CAGUGAUCACUUUAACGGCCGCGGUACCCUGACCGUGCAAAGGUAGCAUAAUCAUUUGCCUUUUAAUUGGAGGCUAGUAUGAAUGGUCUAACGAGAGUAAAACUGUCUCAUAUAUAUUUAAUAGAAAUUAACUUAAAGGUGCAAAGGCCUUUAUAAUCUAAAAAGACGAGAAGACCCUGUUGAGCUUUAAUCUAGCAUUUCUUCUAUAUUGAUAAAUUCAUUUUGCUUACUAAAGAUUUUAAUUGGGGCGAUUAAGGAACACUCACCAGCUUCCUGAAAAACUAAACCGAUCCAGCAAUGUUGAUCAGCAAAGCGAGUUACCACAGGGAUAACAGCAUAAUUCUCCUUGAGAGCCCAUAUCGAAAGGAGAGAUUGUGACCUCGAUGUUGGACUAGGGUAACCAGAAGGUGCAGCCGCUUUCUUGUUUGGUCUGUUCGACCAAUAAUUCCCU
rnacentral:rRNA from 1 species